ensembl:lncRNA
CCCAGAUUGCUGGCCUUCCAGAGUUUCUGAUUCGUGAGGAGGAGGAAAGCUGGAGAAUUUGCAUGUCUAGCAGGUUCCCAGUGAGUUCCUGGCUUGUCUGUCGGUGCAGCGCCAGAAGCAAGCUGCAGAACAGGAGUUACUGGGGACGGCAGUGACCAUGAAUCCCAAAGGAGGAAUAUUGAUCUCAGUGUUACUUCGACCACUAAUGAAUUAUGAUGACAAUAAGCAGAGACGCACACCUCCAGCCUCCUGGGAGCUUAAUCUUCUGCUACAACAUUUGCUUUUGUAAUCAGCACCUGUGUGAUCUAUAUUCAAACUAUUUGUUAUUCUCCUUUAAUUACAUAUUGGUGGUGAUCCAUUUGUAGCUUGAGAGCAACCAACUGGAGAGUCAAAGAAAUUAUUAAAAUAUUGACUUUGAAUUAGAAGGCCAAAAAGAAACAUGGCUGAAUUUAUUCCUACCCAUUUCAUUGUGAUGGUUCGGGAACAGUUAUUCCCUUUCAUGUCAAGAAAACCUGGGUCUAAAAAGUUAGUACAGAACUUUUACCUUAACAGAACUUUUAACUUUAUUAAAGUUCUACCUUAGAACUUUUAACAGUAUUUCUGUUAACCUUAUCUGUCAAGCAGCGUUUGGUUUGGCAGGUGGACUGCAAGGAGAUCCAACCAGUCCAUUCUGAAGGAGAUCAGCCCUGGGAUUUCUUUGGAAGGAAUGAUGCUGAAGCUAAAACUCCAGUACUUUGGCCACCUCAUGCGAAGAGUUGACUCUUUGGAAAAGACUCUGAUGCUGGGAGGGAUUGGGGACAGGAGGAGAAGGGGACGACAGAGGAUGAGAUGGCUGGAUGGCAUCACUGACUCGAUGGACGUGAGUCUGAG